rnacentral:rRNA from 1 species
CCUACGGGGGGCAGCAGUGGGGAAUAUUGGGCAAUGGGCGCAAGCCUGACCCAGCAACGCCGCGUGAAGGAAGAAGGCUUUCGGGUUGUAAACUUCUUUUCUCAGGGACGAAGAAAGUGACGGUACCUGAGGAAUAAGCAGCGGCUAACUACGUGCCAGCAGCCGCGGUAAUACGUAGGUGGCAAGCGUUAUCCGGAUUUAUUGGGUGGAAAGCGGGCGUAGGCGGGAGCGUAAGUCAGAUGUGAAAACUCAGGGCUCAACCCUGGGACUGCAUUUGAUACUGUGAUUCUUGAGUGGUGGAGAGGCAAUCGGAAUUCCGGGUGUAGCGGUGAAAUGCGUAGAUAUACGGAGGAACACCAGUGGCGAAGGCGGAUUGCUGGACAGUAACUGACGCUGAGGCGCGAAAGCGUGGGGAGCAAACAGGAUUAGAUACCCUUGUAGUC